CCCUGGUGAGCUUCCUUUUUGCUUUGCUGGCUUUUCUUUGGCUGUUUAAUGUUGGAGAGAAACAUCUUAAGGCAUAUACUAUUUUUGUUAUCUUAAAGGUCCUCUUUGAAUUCCAGCACGAUGCAUCAAACCAUACCAUGGCAUGGCUAGGACCCAACCCAGUACCAGAAAUGAAGAAAAGGACCCUACAGGACCCGCAUCCCCAUGCUGAAAAAGACAACUCAAGAGGCUGAACAAAUCCUGCUCCAGACACACACAUCAUUCACUCCAGUUCACCCAAUUCAAAGCCAUGUUUGGAGAUUUCUGUAUCCAGAAGCAGAGUCUGAAAGAAAUACGUCUCCCAUAAUGGAAACUGAAGAACAAGGACAACUUUUUGAGAGUGAUAAUUUGGAAAAAGAAUGUAUUUUAGCACUCCACACAAUAUAACACAGGCAUGCUUGUCAGCAUGCUUCAUUUUUAAACUAACUCUGAUAGAAGAUGUUUUCUGAUUGUGACUCAUUAUUUGUUGGAUGGUAUAUUUUAUAUAGCACAAAAAAGAUACCCUUUAUAAGUAAUGGUCCAUCUUAAUUGGGAUAUAACUUAAAAAUUCAAUAAACUGUAAAAGAGUGAAGUAGAACGUAGGAAUGUGAAGCAAAAACAAAGAAACGAAAUAUAGUGCAGCCUUCAUUAGAUUAUUUCAAUUGGAAAUGAUAUCUUUUGGUGUGGUUAUUUGAACAAGUUAUUAGAAAAAUCACUACUGCUAUUUUACCUGCAAUUGUUAAUGUGAUAGUUUUUCACUGCCUUGGAUGGAAUGAAAGAUCUCCAGUUAUUUAUUUCUAUAACUUCUAUGCAGCCAGUAAAAUUCUUGACUGGUACAGGCAUCUGAGAGAGAGAGAGAGAGAGAGAAGUAGAGAUAAUUUAAAUGAUUUUCUUGAAUAUAUUAUUCUUGCUUCAAACUGGUCAGGGUAUGCAACUGGAUUUGGAGGCUGAUUUGAUUUAUUCUACUUAUUUAUAGUACAGUAAUUCAAAUAUUUUCAUAAAUAUCAAUCCAAAAAGUAAUAGGAUUUUUCCAUAUCUUGGCUAUUAUGAAUAAUGCUGCAAUGAACAUGGGCAAAAUUAUAAAGAAAUUAUGUUUGUGUACAUACAAACACAAUGCUAUUCAACCUUAUAAAAGAAGGAAAUCCUGCCAUUUGUUACAACCUGGAUGAAACUGAAAGAUAUUAUGCUAAGUGAAAUAAGUUAGACACAAACAUAUGUGAUUAUCUCACUUAUAGGUAGACUCUAACAAAAUGAACUCAAAUACACAGAAAUAGACACCAAAUCUGUGGUUAUAAAGCCAAGCAAGGUCUGAGGCUGUGGGUGGGGAAAAAAUGUGCAGAUUUAGGUCAAGAGAUACAAAGCAUCAGAUAUUUAGAAUAAACAAAUCUACAGACCUAAUGUGUAACAUGAGGAUUAUAGUUAAAAAUAUUGCAUUGUAUUUGGGACUUUUGGUGAAUGAAUAGAUUUUAGCUGCUCUUGCUACACACAGAUGAAAAAUGGGUAACUAUAUGUGAUAAUGGAUGUUAAUUUGCUUCACUAUAGUUACUAUUUUACUACCCAUAUGUAUCUCAUAACAUCAUGUAUCUCAUAACAUCAUGUGGCCCAUACCUUAAAUAUAUACAAUAAAAUUUAUUUUAAAAAUUAGUAGGAAAGAAUGUCACCUUAUUCAUCAAAAGUU
rnacentral:lncRNA from 1 species